rnacentral:lncRNA from 1 species
AGACUGAUGGCAGCACGUGUAGUCACUGCAAAGAGUAGCCUAAUAAGCUGGCUUUCAUUUGGUCUCUUUUUGAAUCAGAAGACCCAGAAAACUUGGAUCCACUUCUGGCUCUGAUCCUUCCUGGCAGCAUGAUUUGGAGUAAGCCAUAACU